AUAUCAAUAAGCGGAGGAAAAGAAACCAACAGGGAUUGCCUCAGUAACGGCGAGUGAAGCGGCAAAAGCUCAAAUUUGAAAUCUGGCACCUUCGGUGUCCGAGUUGUAAUUUGAAGAAGGUAACUUUGGAGUUGGCUCUUGUCUAUGUUCCUUGGAACAGGACGUCACAGAGGGUGAGAAUCCCGUGCGAUGAGAUGCCCAAUUCUAUGUAAAGUGCUUUCGAAGAGUCGAGUUGUUUGGGAAUGCAGCUCUAAGUGGGUGGUAAAUUCCAUCUAAAGCUAAAUAUUGGCGAGAGACCGAUAGCGAACAAGUACAGUGAUGGAAAGAUGAAAAGAACUUUGAAAAGAGAGUGAAAAAGUACGUGAAAUUGUUGAAAGGGAAGGGCUUGAGAUCAGACUUGGUAUUUUGCAAGCCUUACCUUCGUGGUGGGGUCCCCUGCAGUUUACUGGGCCAGCAUCGGUUUGGAUGGUAGGAUAAUGACUUGGGAAUGUGACUUUGCUUCGGUAAAGUGUUAUAGCCCUUGUUGAUACUGCCUGUCUAGACCGAGGACUGCGUCUUUGACUAGGAUGCUGGCAUAAUGAUCUUA
rnacentral:rRNA from 1 species